UGCAAGGGCAGCUACACAUGCAGUCGAGCGAGAACUUCGGUUCUAGCGGCGGACGGGUUAGUAACGCGUGGGAACGUGCCCUUCACUACGGAAUAGUCCCGGGAAACUGGGUUUAAUACCGUAUACGCCCUUCGGGGGAAAGAAUUUCGGUGAAGGAUCGGCCCGCGUUAGAUUAGAUAGUUGGUGGGGUAACGGCCUACCAAGUCUACGAUCUAUAGCUGGUUUUAGAGGAUGAUCAGCAACACUGGGACUGAGACACGGCCCAGACUCCUACGGGAGGCAGCAGUGGGGAAUCUUAGACAAUGGGCGCAAGCCUGAUCUAGCCAUGCCGCGUGAGUGAUGAAGGCCUUAGGGUCGUAAAGCUCUUUCGCCAGGGAUGAUAAUGACAGUACCUGGUAAAGAAACCCCGGCUAACUCCGUGCCAGCAGCCGCGGUAAUACGGAGGGGGUUAGCGUUGUUCGGAAUUACUGGGCGUAAAGCGCGCGUAGGCGGAUUGGAAAGUUGGGGGUGAAAUCCCAGGGCUCAACCCUGGAACUGCCUCCAAAACUAUCAGUCUAGAGUUCGAGAGAGGUGAGUGGAACUCCGAGUGUAGAGGUGAAAUUCGUAGAUAUUCGGAAGAACACCAGUGGCGAAGGCGGCUCACUGGCUCGAUACUGACGCUGAGGUGCGAAAGUGUGGGGAGCAAACAGGAUUAGAUACCCUGGUAGUCC
rnacentral:rRNA from 1 species